GAAAGAUUCAUCGGAAGAGGAUGGGCAUGCGGCGCAUUAGCUUGACGGCGGGGUAACGGCCCACCGUGGCGACGAUGCGUAGGGGUUCUGAGAGGAAGGUCCCCCACACUGGUACUGAGACACGGACCAGACUCCUACGGGAGGCAGCAGUGAGGAAUAUUGGUCAAUGGGAGAGAUCCUGAACCAGCCAAGCCGCGUGAGGGAAGACGGCCCUAUGGGUUGUAAACCUCUUUUGUCGGAGAACAAAACCCGGGACGUGUCCCGGACUGCGUGUAUCCGAAGAAAAAGCAUCGGCUAACUCCGUGCCAGCAGCCGCGGUAAUACGGAGGAUGCGAGCGUUAUCCGGAUUUAUUGGGUUUAAAGGGUGCGUAGGCGGUCUGUUAAGUCAGCGGUAAAAUUGCGGGGCUCAACCCCGUCGAGCCGUUGAAACUGGCAGACUUGAGUUGGCGAGAAGUACGCGGAAUGCGCGGUGUAGCGGUGAAAUGCAUAGAUAUCGCGCAGAACUCCGAUUGCGAAGGCAGCGUACCGGCGCCAGACUGACGCUGAGGCACGAAAGCGUGGGGAUCGAACAGGAUUAGAUACCCUGGUAGUCCACGCAGUAAACGAUGAAUGCUGGUUGUCCGGGUCGAAUGAGACCUGG
rnacentral:rRNA from 1 species